AGUCGCAACCUCUCUCCUUGCGCGUGCGUGCAGCCCUUAGGCUCAGCCGCCGAGGCGGAGGGACCGUGGGGACUGUGGGCCCAGGGGUCCAUAGAUGACAUGCCAUUCGAUAGAUAUUUAUUCUGGUGUUCCAGGAAAACAAAUAACGGUACAGCUUAAGCGAAAAGAAAAACAUCUUACUGUCAGUGUCUAAGCUCCUUUAACAACGGAAUGUGUCUGAGACCUUGUGUACGGAUACACGUGUACUUAAAACAGCCCCGCCAGUGUGCAGAGCUGUUAAGUCGACGACGGUUUGUGGGAGCUACCGCAGUUAAGCCUCAGAACAACUUUAUGAGGUAGGUACUAUUAUCUCAGAAGUAGGAAUACUAGUUCCCAAAAAGAAUCAGGAGGUUCGACAGUGUUGAAGGUACUGAUGGAUACAGGCACACUGACAGCCAUGAAAGUGAGAACUGAGUGUUACAGAAACUCUGAAAAUACACAGAGUGAAAAUUCAGUAUUAUUGCCAAGACUGCACAACAAGAAAUCAUAAAGAAGUCCUUAAGACAGAAGGGAAAUGACACCAGAUGGAAAUACAGAUUUACACAAAGGAAGGAUGAGCACUGGAAAAGAAUGUAUUUUCCAGGAGAGAUGGCCUAUAUCUUUUUGUUAACUCCAGCUCCUGCCAAGUGUUUGACACAUAAAAGAUGUUCAGUGAAUGUUGGAUUGGUUCCUGGAAGUGGAACUACUGUAUCAAAGAUACGUUUGGAAGACUCCAGAAAGGUAGGUAAUACAGUAAUAGAUGAGUUUGCAAAUUUCAUUGCAUUCUUAGCAACACUAGCUAUUAGCAUUUAUUUUCAGUAUCUGUCAGUCUUUGGGGAGACUUUCUAUAAUUUAGUGCGACAAACUUGCAGUUUUGCUCAUACACUCAUAUUAAUAACUUUACUAUUUCAAGGACUUAAAGUUCUUUGUCUUCUCCAUGAUGCUUAACAGAGCCUUGCCCAGACAUUGAAGAAAUGCAUAUUUUAAUUGGCUUUGGCAACAUUUCUUUUAAAAUAAAUUAUAUUUUGAACACAUGGAAAGGUGAAGAAAAGUAACAUUAAAAAAGAUCCAAAUUAUUUUACUUAAUAAAAUAGAAGAUUGUACUCAAUUCUUAAUGUAGUAGUAGAGCAUUAUGGCUAUCAGCCAGCAAUGUUAUAUUUAUUGAAUUUAUUUACUGAAAUCAUACUGAUUUUAUUGAUUAUUGUGUCAUUAUCACUAUAGCACUUUCCAAAAUGUUUCAAAAUGCUUGGUUUAUAAGGUUAAGAAAAACGUUCACUAGAUAACUACUUUGAAAUAAUUUCUUCAGCGCUGCCUUCAUUCAAGAGGACUAGAAGCAUACUGGCCUGUUUCCAACUUUCUUUCAUGUUAUCUUUGCUAUGAAGUCAUUCUAUAGAUAGGGUAAUAAGCAUUUUGGCAUACAGAAAAAUAGCAUCUGUAAAACUAUAUGGCACAGUUUGGCUGGAGUUGUUCCUCCUUGAGAACUGCAUUACGUAAUUUAAAAGUGUUUUCUUAAGCUCCUUUGGGCUGCCUCCAUGGUAGCUAUGAAGUCACUGAGAACUAGGAACAGUUUGGGGCUUGAUAACAAAGUCUAUUAGUUUAAAGUGAACACUGUCAGUAUUUUAAAAAAUCAUUGCUUGAUAAGAAAUUUUAAAAACAAAGAUAUACUUAAUUCAUUUUAUUUUUUAAGGAAGCUUGCUACCUCAAAAAAUCAUCGAGAAAUACACACACAAAAAGGGUUCAUAAAUGUACAUUUGUUCAUUACUUAGAUGCUCUUAUUUUAAAACCUGUACUCUAUAGCAUGAAUUCACAGUGUGAUUUCAACUCAAUGUAACUAUAAAUAAUUAUGCAAAAUUACCAACAUGUAUAAAGCACAGCCUUUAGGAGAGUAUGAAUUAUUAAAAUGACUUCAGCAC
rnacentral:lncRNA from 1 species